rnacentral:rRNA from 1 species
UUAAAUUGAAGAGUUUGAUCAUGGCUCAGAUUGAACGCUGGCGGCAGGCCUAACACAUGCAAGUCGAACGGUAACAGGAAACAGCUUGCUGUUUCGCUGACGAGUGGCGGACGGGUGAGUAAUGUCUGGGAAACUGCCUGAUGGAGGGGGAUAACUACUGGAAACGGUAGCUAAUACCGCAUAACGUCGCAAGACCAAAGAGGGGGACCUUCGGGCCUCUUGCCAUCGGAUGUGCCCAGAUGGGAUUAGCUAGUAGGUGGGGUAACGGCUCACCUAGGCGACGAUCCCUAGCUGGUCUGAGAGGAUGACCAGCCACACUGGAACUGAGACACGGUCCAGACUCCUACGGGAGGCAGCAGUGGGGAAUAUUGCACAAUGGGCGCAAGCCUGAUGCAGCCAUGCCGCGUGUAUGAAGAAGGCCUUCGGGUUGUAAAGUACUUUCAGCGGGGAGGAAGGGAGUAAAGUUAAUACCUUUGCUCAUUGACGUUACCCGCAGAAGAAGCACCGGCUAACUCCGUGCCAGCAGCCGCGGUAAUACGGAGGGUGCAAGCGUUAAUCGGAAUUACUGGGCGUAAAGCGCACGCAGGCGGUUUGUUAAGUCAGAUGUGAAAUCCCCGGGCUCAACCUGGGAACUGCAUCUGAUACUGGCAAGCUUGAGUCUCGUAGAGGGGGGUAGAAUUCCAGGUGUAGCGGUGAAAUGCGUAGAGAUCUGGAGGAAUACCGGUGGCGAAGGCGGCCCCCUGGACGAAGACUGACGCUCAGGUGCGAAAGCGUGGGGAGCAAACAGGAUUAGAUACCCUGGUAGUCCACGCCGUAAACGAUGUCGACUUGGAGGUUGUGCCCUUGAGGCGUGGCUUCCGGAGCUAACGCGUUAAGUCGACCGCCUGGGGAGUACGGCCGCAAGGUUAAAACUCAAAUGAAUUGACGGGGGCCCGCACAAGCGGUGGAGCAUGUGGUUUAAUUCGAUGCAACGCGAAGAACCUUACCUGGUCUUGACAUCCACGGAAGUUUUCAGAGAUGAGAAUGUGCCUUCGGGAACCGUGAGACAGGUGCUGCAUGGCUGUCGUCAGCUCGUGUUGUGAAAUGUUGGGUUAAGUCCCGCAACGAGCGCAACCCUUAUCCUUUGUUGCCAGCGGUCCGGCCGGGAACUCAAAGGAGACUGCCAGUGAUAAACUGGAGGAAGGUGGGGAUGACGUCAAGUCAUCAUGGCCCUUACGACCAGGGCUACACACGUGCUACAAUGGCGCAUACAAAGAGAAGCGACCUCGCGAGAGCAAGCGGAUCUCAUAAAGUGCGUCGUAGUCCGGAUUGGAGUCUGCAACUCGACUCCAUGAAGUCGGAAUCGCUAGUAAUCGUGGAUCAGAAUGCCACGGUGAAUACGUUCCCGGGCCUUGUACACACCGCCCGUCACACCAUGGGAGUGGGUUGCAAAAGAAGUAGGUAGCUUAACCUUCGGGAGGGCGCUUACCACUUUGUGAUUCAUGACUGGGGUGAAGUCGUAACAAGGUAACCGUAGGGGAACCUGCGGUUGGAUCACCUCCUUACCUUAAAGAAGC